GACCGUGGCUCAAUCUCUUGCGGUGUUGCCACAGGCGAGAGUGUGAGUAACGCGUAUGCAACCUACCUUAUACAGGGGAAUAGCCCGAAGAAAUUCGGAUUAAUGCUCCAUGGUUUAUCGAUAUGGCAUCGUAUUGAUAAUAAAGAUUUAUCGGUGUAAGAUGGGCAUGCGUAUCAUUAGCUAGUUGGUGUGGUAACGGCAUACCAAGGCAACGAUGAUUAGGGGUCCUGAGAGGGAGAUCCCCCACACUGGUACUGAGACACGGACCAGACUCCUACGGGAGGCAGCAGUGAGGAAUAUUGGUCAAUGGAGGCAACUCUGAACCAGCCAUGCCGCGUGCAGGAUGACGGUCCUAUGGAUUGUAAACUGCUUUUGUACAGGAAGAAACCUCUCUACGAGUAGAGACUUGACGGUACUGUAAGAAUAAGGAUCGGCUAACUCCGUGCCAGCAGCCGCGGUAAUACGGAGGAUCCGAGCGUUAUCCGGAAUUAUUGGGUUUAAAGGGUUCGUAGGCGGCUUUGUAAGUCAGUGGUGAAAUUUCCUAGCUUAACUAGGACACUGCCAUUGAUACUGCAGAGCUUGAAUAAUAUGGAAGUAACUAGAAUAUGUAGUGUAGCGGUGAAAUGCUUAGAUAUUACAUGGAAUACCAAUUGCGAAGGCAGGUUACUACGUAUUUAUUGACGCUGAUGAACGAAAGCGUGGGGAGCGAACAGGAUUAGAUACCCUGGUAGUCCACGCCGUAAACGAUGGAUACUAGCUGUUCGGAUUUCGGUCUGAGUGGCUAAGCGAAAGUGAUAAGUAUCCCACCUGGGGAGUACGUUCGCAAGAAUGAAACUCAAAGGAAUUGACGGGGGCCCGCACAAGCGGUGGAGCAUGUGGUUUAAUUCGAUGAUACGCGAGGAACCUUACCAGGGCUUAAAUGUAGAUUGACAGAUUUGGAAACAGAUUUUUCUUCGGACAAUUUACAAGGUGCUGCAUGGUUGUCGUCAGCUCGUGCCGUGAGGUGUCAGGUUAAGUCCUAUAACGAGCGCAACCCCUAUUGUUAGUUACCAGCGCGUAGUGGCGGGGACUCUAGCAAGACUGCCGGUGCAAACCGUGAGGAAGGUGGGGAUGACGUCAAAUCAUCACGGCCCUUACGUCCUGGGCUACACACGUGCUACAAUGGCAAGUACAGAAAGCAGCUACCUGGCAACAGGAUGCGAAUCUCCAAAGCUUGUCUCAGUUCGGAUUGGAGUCUGCAACUCGACUCUAUGAAGCUGGAAUCGCUAGUAAUCGGAUAUCAGCCAUGAUCCGGUGAAUACGUUCCCGGGCCUAUAUUGUCAAAAGGUCAAGUCAUUGUGAGUUUUAGCCC
rnacentral:rRNA from 1 species